GUUUGUUUACAGUCUGAUGAUGGGACAUCAUGCUCUGCAUCGUCAAAGUUUGCCUCCUCAUUAUUAUUCAUACCCAGUAAUGUGAAUCUUUUCGCAGGAUCAGAAAACAAAACCAGGAGGCGCGUAAAUGUUUCUUCAAAUGUUUCUUCUGGAUGAUGAUAAGACUGUGACACGGGAUGCCACCUUUGGUCUUGUGAUGAAGCAAAGCUCAGGAAGAAGUGGGAUUAAAUGGUACCCACAUGUGUGCUGCUGAGAAGGAUGUACAGGGGCACCUGCAGCCAAAUCCAAGCCUCAGAGCAGCAGUUUGUGCUCACAGAUGGUGACGGUGUGGAGAGACGGUGGUGUUUCCUCA
ensembl:lncRNA